rfam:Stegodyphus mimosarum contig118978, whole genome shotgun sequence.
GCCUUCGUGGUGUAAAUGGAAGCAUACUCAACUCGUAUUCGGGAGAUCCGGAGUUCGAAUUCCGGCGAGGGCA